UGAUAGCUGAGAGAGAGAGAGAGAGAGAGACGGGGGGGCUGGGAGAGAGAGAGAGAGAGGACUGGGGUGGGUUUUUCUCUCUCCCCCCCCUUCUCUCUCUCGCUGAUGCCAUGCAAAUUUAG